rnacentral:lncRNA from 1 species
UUUUUGAUAAUGGCAAACCUAUAUGGGAAUAUGCAUAUACUCUUAUAAAAACUAUGCCAAAUUUAAGACAAGUUAUUAUUGAGUUCCCCCUCAAUUUAUGCAAUAAGUAUUAAAAUAAAAUUGCAUAAAAAUGUAUAUAUGCAUAUACAAGUUAUCUUCCCCCUUUAUGCAUUUAAAUAAAUAAGUAUGCAUAUACCCUUAUCUUUCCUAAUGCAUGGAAAAUAAAUAUACCCUUUAUCUUCCCCAAUGCAUAUAAAAAGAUAAAUAUGCAUAUACCCUUAAUCUUCCCCCUUUUGACAUUAACAAAAAGAUAAUUUUAUUAAUGAAGAAGGAAAAUUA